GAUCCUGGCUCAGAUUGAACGCUGGCGGCAGGCCUAACACAUGCAAGUCGAACGGUAACAGGAAGAAGCUUGCUUCUUUGCUGACUAGUGGCGGACGGGUGAGUAAUGUCUGGGAAACUGCCUGAUGGAGGGGGAUAACUACUGGAAACGGUAGCUAAUACCGCAUAACGUCGCAAGACCAAAGAGGGGGACCUUCGGGCCUCUUGCCAUCGGAUGUGCCCAGAUGGGAUUAGCUUGUUGGUGGGGG
rnacentral:rRNA from 1 species